GCCUGGCUGGCUCAGUUGGUAGAGCAUGUGACUCUUGAGCUCAGCGUCAUGAGUUCGAGCCCCAUGUUGGGUG
rfam:Ailuropoda melanoleuca scaffold1268_7, whole genome shotgun sequence.